rnacentral:rRNA from 1 species
UACGUAGGGGGCAAGCGUUGUCCGGAAUCAUUGGGCGUAAAGAGCGCGUAGGCGGCCCUGUAAGUCCGCUGUGAAAGUCAAGGGCUCAACCCUUGGAUGCCGGUGGAUACUGCAGGGCUAGAGUCCGGAAGAGGCGAGUGGAAUUCCUGGUGUAGCGGUGAAAUGCGCAGAUAUCAGGAGGAACACCAGUGGCGAAGGCGGCUCUCUGGGCAGAUACUGACGCUGAGACGCGAAAGCAUGGGGAGCAAACAGG